rnacentral:misc_RNA from 1 species
AACAAUGGCGGCUUCUUGCAUGCUCAGAUCCUCUUUCCUUUCUCCUAACCAUAAUCUUCAUCAACAAUCCUCUCCUAAAUCUAACCGUGCUUCCUUCUUCACUCCUAUCAAAGCCACAUCUUCAACAGAUGAUGCAAUCUCAAAAUCUCCACAACUUCAGAAGCACCGCCGCCCUGCUGACGAGAAUAUCCGUGAGGAAGCCCGACGCGACGUAUCUUCCCACAAUUUCUCUGCUAGGUAUGUACCUUUUAAUGCCGAUCCUAACUCCAGCGAGUGGUAUCCUCUCGAUGAGAUUAUUUAUCGCAGCCGAUCAGGUGGCCUACUUGAUGUCCAACACGAUAUGGACGCCCUCAAGAAAUUUGACGGCCAGUACUGGCGGUCCCUGUUUGAUUCCAGGGUGGGCAAGACAACAUGGCCUUAUGGUUCUGGUGUUUGGUCCAAGAAGGAAUGGGUCCUGCCUGAAAUUGACAGUGAUGAUAUUGUCAGUGCUUUUGAAGGAAAUUCCAAUCUUUUUUG